AUGGUCUCCGGCUCUCGGUCCGGGUGUACCGGCCUCCUGGGGGGCGUCCCAGAGGCCUCAGCACAGACGGUGGUGCUGCAAGGACCAGCCACAGACGGGACAGGGUCCAGGUGCCCUGGCGGAGCAUCCCUGGGACGGACGGGGCUGCCAGCGUCCCCUGCAGGCGGUGCCUGCUCUCUGCAUCCCGCUGACCUGGGCUCCACCCCAGCCCACCCCCGGGAAUAUAAACGCACCAGGGAAAUGAUGCAACAAGGGAGCACCCCCUCGCCGGGCAACCAGAACCAGCAGGCGGCUUCGGGAACACCAUCCACGAGCCGGGAGGGCCCCGGGCACCCAGAGCAGGAAUCUGACCGGAGGGAGGCCUCGGCCAGGAACUCAGGGAACACACUCCUGAGACGGGAGGCCAGGUCGAGAUAGGCAGCAAAGACACCAGGAAAGGCCAGAGUAGAGUGGAAACCGGAGGGGGGAAGGCUCAGAGACAGGAACGAGACACACAGGGGUCAGGGUGGAGAGCUGGGCCAGAGCCAGAGGCGGGAUGCCCCGAAUCGCCAGGGACGCAAAGGGGAGCGCGUUUCAAGAGUCAGAGAAGGAGAAUGCCUUCAUCGCGCGGGAAGAGGAACGGCCUCGGGCUGGAAGGGUAAACAGGCACACAUGCACAUCACCAGGAGAUCGGGGGCAUCAGAGAGAAAGAUAAAACUCUAGACGGUCACAGCAAAUCUGUUAACCUCUGAGACAGCUGCUAUCAGAUGAUCCAGUGGCCCGGCGAAACUCUGCAAACCAGUGUUUUCAGAGGUCUGAAAGAAAGUAAACUAACCUAGAAUUUCAAACCAGCAACCAAAUGUGAGGUGGGGAGCCUGCGGGUGACCCCAAUGUGUCCUUGAAAACAGCGUCCCAGAAACGCUGAAGAAAAGGGGGAGGAACGCAGGUGGACUGCAGGCCCCCAGGAGUGCACACGGGCCCUGAAGCCAGAGGCCCACAGAGACGGGUGCGGCCGCGAGCCUGGGCAGAGCUGAGGAGGCCACAGUGGGCAGGCCGGGGGCGUCCAGGCGGAGGGGCCUGAAGGGAAACUGCUGCGACAGAGGCAGUGAGGGACGUCAGAAACUUCCAGAAGGAUGUUUCCCUUGCUAGGACUUCUACAAAUUGAAUCAAAGCCACACGAAACGUCCUCUCAGUCCUGCCAGCGGGAAAAUGGGACGGCAAGGAUGGCCACGGCCUUGGUGGGGGUGGGGGGUCCAGGGACCCUGCACAUGGGGCCUGAGGUUUGAUCCUGCUCUGGGGGAGCAGGGGGCGGGGCUUGGCAGAAAAUGUUAAAGGUCUUUGUAGGUUGAAUUCCCUUUGCCCCAUAAAUUCCAGUUUUAGGAAUUUCUUGUAAGCAAACCACCCGAGAAUUGGGCAGAGAUCGUGUCUAAGAGUGUCCUCCGUCUCCAGCUCCUGGUGGGCAGCUAUCAGAAAUGGGCCCGGCAGUGGAUGGCCAGCGACAGAUGCCACUCGGGCACCAACAGGGCAGUGCUGUGGGCACCGUGGCACGGAAGGGCCCCCGGGCACCACGCUGGGGAAACGGCACAUGCAAUCCGAUCACGCUUUCAUGUGUGUUCAUCUGGAUGCAGGGAGCACGGCAAGGCCAGGAGGGCAAUGUGCCAGGGGCCACGGCAACAGGACUGGGAGGUGCCAAGAUCAGGGCAGCAUCAGCUCACGUGUCUCUGUAUCCUCUGCCUUGUUUAAAACAAGCAAACGUUGCUUUUGUAAGAUGGAAAGAAGUUCUUCCUAUUAAAAAUCAAAACCACUAUGAGGUACCAUUUCACACCAGUCAGAAUGGCUGUGAUCCAAAAGUCUACAAGCAAUAAAUGCUGGAGAGGGUGUGGAGAAAAGGGAACC
ensembl:lncRNA